CCGCUCGGCCCCUCGACAGUAAAGGAGCACUUUUCUGUGACGCCAAGUUUGAGUAGAAGCCCCAGUCCACUACUAAUAGCCCUCCCACGGUGAGGGGCAGGCUAACUAAGCUCUAAACUUGCCCUGUGCUGAGACUCAGGAAGAAUUGUCUAAGACAGACCAUCAAGUAAGCUGGAAUCUACUCUCUGGAAAUAUCUUCCUUGUACUCCCGAAUUUUCUCCUAUUAAUGUGGCAUAUGGUUCAGUAUAUCUAUGCUAUUUUCUUUUUACAUAUAUACACAAACAUGCACAUGUAUGUAAAUAUAGGUACAUAUAUGUAUAAUGUUUUCAUCUGAAUCAGUUACUUUGUCACAUAUGUGGCCAAUCCAAUAUCCAUUCCCUCUUCUUUAUUGCUAAAAAAGUCCUGACCUUGUUUUAAGAAAAAUAAACAAAAAACUCUGUGUUCUAACUUCUCCUGUAGUUGUAAGCAAAAGUUAUUAGAUUGAGUUUCUCAGAUAAUUCUUAAAAAUGCAAGGUGAGGGCAGGGCCAGACUCAGUAAGCAGGUAUUCUUUUGGCCUUUCGCCACUUUCCAUCUGGAAUGUGGAUGUGGUGCCACAUGUGAAGCAUUGAAGCAUUUAUCUUAAAACCAUGCAUUUACCAUGAAAGGAUGAAUAGGAAGUUUGCUAUAUUAAAUUAAAAUAGAAGAUUUUAAGUUUCUGUUUUGUGAAAGCAAUUUGGCAAAAAAAAAAAAUUCUACCUAUAUAUACAUGAAAUGUGUAGUAGAAUUUUAAUUUUCUUCAUUGUAAUUAAACUCAAAUCGGUGUUUCCUUG